UUUUUUUUUUUUUUUUUUUUUUUUUUUUUUGUUUGUUUUGUUUACAAAUUGCAAUUUCAGUUGUUCCUUUCUAAGAGCAGAAUAAAUACAAGCAACCAUCACAAGGUCGGCCCGCUGAAAGGGUUUCCAGGGCUGUGGUGGUCUGGGAGCUUUGGCAGGGAGACCCUGGCCCUGUGGGCUGGCAGAGGUGUAGCUGGCAUCUCAGUGCCCCCAAAAAUCCCAGUUUCACAGUGCCCCUUGUUGGCUGGGCUGGGAGGUGGGAGAUGCUGCUGGGGCCAAAAGCAUCUCACCUGCAGUGUGUCCCGGAGCAGGUCCUGAUUCCAAAUCGAGCCAGCUUCUUUUGGUUGGGUCCAGAGCAGCUGUUUGGGCAUCCCAGCAGAAAAUGCCUCUCUUGCCUCACUGGAGUGGUUUAACCUUAGGGGUGGCUGUUUGGGGGAUUCACAUUUCCUUGGAUGCUCUUGUGGAAGACAAUCCAAAUCUCUGUUGAUCUGGGCAGGCUCAGGCCUCUGUGCACGUUAACUGUGUUUUCUGUCAGUCCUGAACUCUCCUGUUAUGCUGUAAAUGCUAAAAAAAUAUGUUGUGUUAUUAGUCAGGUUGGUUUGAGGGGGUAGGAGGGGGAGAGUCUGUGUGACUGCUGACUCGGGGAAGGGUUUUCACGCUGGUGCAAGUGGAAAACAACUGAUUUAUCUGCUCAUUUAGAAAUGCGUGCGUGGCAGGGCUGUGCCACACACUGUGCAGCACACCAGGAGCAUCCCCAGGGAAAACAGGGUAGCCCCCCAGGACAGUCAUACUGGGGAGGGUAAAACUUCUCAUCCUUGUCUCAGGAGAAAAUCCAUCUGUCUGUGGGAGCUGUUUGGGGUGUGUGGUCUGGGAUUGUGCUGCUGCAGGAGAGACUCCCAAACUUUAUGUGCUGGUUUUUGGUCAUUGAUUAUUGGGGAAAAUCCCUUUGGCUGCGAGGGCAGUGGUUGCUGCAGGUUUUGGAGGGGGAGAUCUUGGUCCUGCUCUGAGCAGUGCAGACUGCAGGGCUGUGUCUAAAAGCUUGUGAGCAGUUUGUAGGAUUGAGGGGAAUGUGAACCGAGACCUUCCCAGUGAAACCAGAGCAGAGCUGAAUGAGCCAAGGGGCCUCUUUAGAGGUUGGACGGUCCAAAACCCACCAGGUCCCAACUCUGCAGAGUGCCAGAGUGUUUCACCAACGGUAUCUCAUUUUUGGGAGCUGCUGUUGGAAAAGGGAAGGGGAGAAAAGCAGCCCAGCUUGUGGGGUUUGUUUCCCUGCACACCAGUACAGGCCUGAGAUGGGAACAGCAGCAGCGUGGCUUUGCCUCUGUGUCCCCAUCAAAAUCUCAGCUCAGUUUGGCCCAGCAAGGCCAACCUGGUGGUGGUUCCUGGCCAAGUCCUGCCCGUGGUUAGACUUAGAUAACCCUGCUGAUGUCAUGGCUGGAAGUGUGGCCAGCACUGGGCACUUUUAAUAGUAGUAUCUCAUUUUCCUGCUUCUCUGGAGAGGUGCUGGCAGAUGCCAGCCAGAGGCUCCCCGUGAGGACAGCAUGUCCUUGGGCAUCUCCCAGGCUGGCUGCUGUCACCCGUCUGCCAUCCCACUGCCAGGACAAGCUGCAGCCUGGCACGGGGGCUGUGACCACCACAGCCCUGCUGAGGAUAACACCCCUCAGGAACCAGCAGACACUGCCUUAGAGCCAUCUGGAGUUACAGUCCUGCCUUUACUAGGCUUAGCUUGCUCAGGGCUGUCCAGCUUUUGCUCCUCUCUGUUGUGCCAGGUCUCCAGGAGGAGAAAAAUGUGGAAAAAUCUGUGAUGCAAGUGCUUUUGAGGCUGUGGUGAUCACCUCUGGUGGGGUGCAGGGGCUGAGGUCAGGCUUUCACUGGGCACUGAUGUGCAAACCAAGGACUCAGUUCUUCAGGUGGCUGCUUGUUCUCUGGCUUUUACAAUCCUCUUAGCACUUUGUUUUCCCUUGGCCCAUUCCCUGGGUAUCUCUGGGGAGGAAAAGAGGGGUGGUGGGCCCAGAGCUGUCCCUCAAGGAUUUGUGGGGGAAGAAACAGUUAACGGGUGUCCGAGGCUGGCGCUUCCCUCCGGAGGUCACUGCAGCGGGUUGUAACCUCUGUGUGUCCCUCUUCCCACCCCUGCAGCCCUGCCAGGGCCGGCUGCAGCUGCUCAGGAUGUGGGGUGAGGACUGGCCGUGCCGUUCUGGGCCCUGCCGGGGCUGGAGCAGGAACACCUCCGAGGAAAACAUCAAAACAAGCCCUCGUGUCCAGCUGGGACAGCCCAGGGGCUGCUUCGUGUGGGAGGAAAUUGGCAGCUGAUGUGACAAUCCGCAGGAAGGAGAACUUCUGAGAGAUGUAGGAAGUGUCUGAGCAUCCCAGUGAGGAAGGAGGAAUCCUCUGCCCCACGUGUGGUUGGCUCCGUGGGGCUGCUGGGCUGGAGCAGGAGAUGAAGUCUGGUUGUGUCCUGGUCUCUCUUGCUGGAGCCUCAUGUAGGGCUCGACCUCCCCUCGUUGACAUAUUCAAAACAGGCUGGGAAGGAAUUUUUGUCUUUUCCAGAAUCUGGGCCGUGACAGUGAAAUAAAUCCUUGCAGCAUCCCUGAGUUUAUUCCACGUCGUCCUGCUGUGUUGGAGGAAGCGUUUGUGUUUCUCAAAUUUAGGGCAUUUUAUUUAUUUAAAAGAGAGCAGGGGAGAAAGCCACAGAAUUUGAGUUAUUCAUUGCAAAUAUUAUUAUUGGCGUUUUGCUCCUCUUGAGG